rnacentral:lncRNA from 1 species
UGUCACUUUAUUACAACAAAUUAUACUAUUGAAGAAGACACAACCCAAUAGUGAAUUAUGAUGAGGACGGAAGAAGUAUACAAGUUGCUUCUUUUGCUAUUUAAAUUCUAUUUCUAGAGACUCAUUAAAUUUUUCGAUGGUGUAUUUUCAUUUAUUUGAAGUUAGGUCAUGAUAUGCCCCCUCAUAAGCUUUUAUUUUCUUUUUCUUUUUCUUUUUAAUUUUCAGUAUAAAUAAAUACUACACUUGCAUGUUUCUUUGACCAAAAAAAUAAAAAAGAAGUAAAUCAGCUUUGUAAAAUUAUCCACGGUACAAAUGCAGUUUGUCCCGCAUUUCUCCUCUUGUUAAGAGGUGGGGGGUUACGCUGAUCAACUCUGGGAAACAAAUCUGUCCUACUUCCUCCAUCGAUUGUAGGGGUGGGCGUGGGUUGGGUUGGGUCGGUUUUCGCCCCAACCCUAACCCAACCCAACAUGAUCGGUUUGGUCAAAAUUUAACCCAACCCAACCCGUGUAAAGUUUGAAACCCAACCCAACCCAACCCAAUCAAGUAUCGGUCGGGUUGGGUUGGGUUGGUCGGUUUAUGACAACUUGUUAAUAAAUAUUAAAGUUAUUCAUUUUUGGGUGUAAAGCAUCACUAAUAUAGUCCCAGAGCCUCAAAAUUUACAAAACUAAUUACGUAAGCAUAGAUAAAAUUCAACUGAGACACUAAAGAACAGAAAUCACAACCAAUUUAGAAGUUGGUUUCUCACAAAAUUCUCUAAUAGUGGAAUGGGAUUGGAACUUACAAGGUAAAAAAAUUUCACCAAUACAACAUGCUCCAAAUCAUUAAAGGGCUUCUUUUGGAUUUGGGAGUGACCGAGUGAGAGGGGGAGGGAGGGGGAGG